GACGGACUACCCCCAGCAUCCCGGCUCUCGCCUGUACGCGGUGCACGCCGCAAAGCCAGAAACGCGAGGCAGAAGGGAAGAAAACCCCCCAGAAAACCCCACACGCGACCCCGCGCACGUGUGGCCGCGGCUAAUUGCGACCCCCGCCGCGCGCCCAGGCGCGGAGCCGGACCCCGCACGGCUCCACCUGCCGGGCGCCCGCACCCCGCGCAGCGCCCCCGCAGCGCCGCCCGCGCACCUUCCGCGGGUGCGGAGCGCCGACAGCGGGCUCAGCCCGGGGGUUGCGGGGGGCGAGCCGCCCCCGUGCCCCCGCAGGACGGCGCCUGUUGCGCGGGACGCCCCCUGCGCCCCCUCCGUCCCCGCGCAAAAGCGGCGCAGCCCCGGCGCUCGCCCUCCCGCCUGGGGAGGGGGCUCGGGGAUCGGGGGGGGGCACACAAAGUUUGGCUCCCGCAGGCAGCGAGGGCACGGGGGCGGCGGGGAGGCAGCCGGCCGGUCACCCCCUCGCUCCCUGCCUCCCUCCCUCCUUCACUCACCUGUCCGUCGCCUCCCCGGCGGUGGCUGAGGGGAAGGCGGGCGGGCGGCGGGCGCGGCCCCGCGCUCCUCUCCCGUCCUUCGGCCCCGGAGGGCGGCGGGGCGGCCGAAGCGGCACCCCCCCGCCGGCCGAGCAGGUGGAGCGGAGCGGAGCAACACGUUUGGGCUCUGAACUUCGCGGCUCUGGUCACAACACAAACAAACACGCAGCCGAGCGAGGACCUCUCCCAGCCGAGCCCAGCCUGCUCGCCAGCCGCUGCCUCUCUUAUUGGUGGGGAGCUUAUUUAUUUAUUUGAUUUCCCCCCCUUCGCCCCCCCCCGCUCUUUCCACACACACACACAUCCNNNNNNNNNNNNNNNNNNNNGUUAUGCUCCUCCGCGGGUGCGUGCAAGGGAGGGUGUGCGGACGUGCGCCGCCGGGGUGGUGUGCAAGGAGACCCCGGCAACCGCAGUGCACUUUGUGCGUGUGCAGCGCUUUCGCCUUUUGCCAGGGCUUGUGUGUGACCAGCGGCGGAGCAGGCUUGAUUUCGCCUCGUACGGGCUGCUGAGCCUUUGUAUUGAUUCUCUCUUUUUUUUUUUUUUAAUUUAA
rnacentral:lncRNA from 1 species